GCUUCCCUGUUUUGUACGUGUAAAAGUUGUAUUUUUUGAGCCAACAUUUAGCAAACGGGGAUGACCUUCUGCCGUGGUGUGCAUGCCUUCUCCGGAAGGAAGCCUGAAGCGGUAUACAGAUUCCCCACCUGUCCUUGACAGGUUCAAAAAAAUAUUUUUGCACGGCAUUGCGGGGGAGUU
rnacentral:other from 1 species